GGGUUGUGAGGUUAAGCGACUAAGCGUACACGGUGGAUGCCCCGCAGUCAGAGGCGAUGAAGGACGCUAAUCUGCGAUAAGCGUCGGUGAGGUGAUAUGAACCGUUAUAACCGGCGAUUUCCGAAUGGGGAAACCCAGUGUGUUUCGACACACUAUCAUUAACUGAAUCCAUAGGUUAAUGAGGCGAACCGGGGAACUGAAACAUCUAAGUACCCCGAGGAAAAGAAAUCAACCGAGAUUCCCCAGUAGCGGCGAGCGAACGGGGAGGAGCCCAGAGCCUGAAUCAGUGUGUGUGUUAGUGGAAGCGUCUGGAAGGCGCGCGAUACAGGGUGACAGCCCCGUACACAAAAUGCACAUACUGUGAGCUCGAUGAGUAGGGCGGGACACGUGGUAUCCUGUCUGAAUAUGGGGACCAUCCUCCAAGGCUAAAUACUCCUGACUGACCGAUAGUGAACCAGUACCGUGAGGGAAAGGCGAAAAGAACCCCGGCGAGGGGAGUGAAAAGAACCUGAAACCGUGUACGUACAAGCAGUGGGAGCCUCUUAAUGGGGUGACUGCGUACCUUUUGUAUAAUGGGUCAGCGACUUAUAUUCUGUAGCAAGGUUAACCGAAUAGGAGCCGAAGGGAAACCGAGUCUUAACUGGGCGUUAAGUUGCAGGGUAUAGACCCGAAACCCGGUGAUUCAGCCAUGGGCAGGUUGAAGGUUGGGUAACACUAACUGGAGGACCGAACCGACUAAUGUUGAAAAAUUAGCGGAUGACUUGUGGCUGGGGUGAAAGGCCAAUCAAACCGGGAGAUAGCUGGUUCUCCCGAAAGCUAUUUAGGUAGCGCCUCGUGAAUUCAUCUCCGGGGUAGAGCACUGUUUCGGCAAGGGUCAUCCCGACUUACCAACCCGAUGCAAACUGCGAAUACCGGAGAAUGUUAUCACGGGAGACACACGGCGGGUGCUAACGUCCGUCGUGAAGAGGGAAACAACCCAGACCGCCAGCUAAGGUCCCAAAGUCAUGGUUAAGUGGGAAACGAUGUGGGAAGGCCCAGACAGCCAGAUGUUGGCUUAGAAGCAGCCAUCAUUUAAAGAAAGCGUAAUAGCUCACUGGUCGAGUCGGCCUGCGCGGAAGAUGUAACGGGCUAAACCAUGCACCGAAGCUGCGGCAGCGACGCUUAUGCGUUGUUGGGUAGGGGAGCGUUCUGUAAGCCUGUGAAGGUGGCCUGUGAGGGUUGCUGGAGGUAUCAGAAGUGCGAAUGCUGACAUAAGUAACGAUAAAGCGGGUGAAAAGCCCGCUCGCCGGAAGACCAAGGGUUCCUGUCCAACGUUAAUCGGGGCAGGGUGAGUCGACCCUAAGGCGAGGCCGAAAGGCGUAGUCGAUGGGAAACAGGUUAAUAUUCCUGUACUUGGUGUUACUGCGAAGGGGACGGAGAAGGCUAUGUUGGCCGGGCGACGGUUGUCCCGGUUUAAGCGUGUAGGCUGGUUUUCCGUGCAAAUCCGGAAAAUCAAGGCUGAGGCGUGAUGACGAGGCACUACGGUGCUGAAGCGACAAAUGCCCUGCUUCCGUGAAAAGCCUCUAAGCAUCAGGUAACAUUAAAUCGUACCCCAAACCGACACAGGUGGUCAGGUAGAGAAUACCAAGGCGCUUGAGAGAACUCGGGUGAAGGAACUAGGCAAAAUGGUGCCGUAACUUCGGGAGAAGGCACGCUGAUAUGUAGGUGAAGCGACUUGCUCGUGGAGCUGAAAUCAGUCGAAGAUACCAGCUGGCUGCAACUGUUUAUUAAAAACACAGCACUGUGCAAACACGAAAGUGGACGUAUACGGUGUGACGCCUGCCCGGUGCCGGAAGGUUAAUUGAUGGGGUUAGCGGUAACGCGAAGCUCUUGAUCGAAGCCCCGGUAAACGGCGGCCGUAACUAUAACGGUCCUAAGGUAGCGAAAUUCCUUGUCGGGUAAGUUCCGACCUGCACGAAUGGCGUAAUGAUGGCGGCUGUCUCCACCCGAGACUCAGUGAAAUUGAACUCGCUGUGAAGAUGCAGUGUACCCGCGGCAAGACGGAAAGACCCCGUGAACCUUUACUAUAGCUUGACACUGAACAUUGAGCCUUGAUGUGUAGGAUAGGUGGGAGGCUUUGAAGUGUGGACGCCAGUCUGCAUGGAGCCGACCUUGAAAUACCACCCUUUAAUGUUUGAUGUUCUAACGUGGGCCCCUUACCGGGGUUGCGGACAGUGUCUGGUGGGUAGUUUGACUGGGGCGGUCUCCUAAAGAGUAACGGAGGAGCACGAAGGUUGGCUAAUCUGGUCGGACAUCAGGAGGUUAGUGCAAUGGCAUAAGCCAGCUUGACUGCGAGCGUGACGGCGCGAGCAGGUGCGAAAGCAGGUCAUAGUGAUCCGGUGGUUCUGAAUGGAAGGGCCAUCGCUCAACGGAUAAAAGGUACUCCGGGGAUAACAGGCUGAUACCGCCCAAGAGUUCAUAUCGACGGCGGUGUUUGGCACCUCGAUGUCGGCUCAUCACAUCCUGGGGCUGAAGUAGGUCCCAAGGGUAUGGCUGUUCGCCAUUUAAAGUGGUACGCGAGCUGGGUUUAGAACGUCGUGAGACAGUUCGGUCCCUAUCUGCCGUGGGCGCUGGAGAACUGAGGGGGGGCUGCUCCUAGUACGAGAGGACCGGAGUGGACGCAUCACUGGUGUUCGGGUUGUCAUGCCAAUGGCACUGCCCGGUAGCUAAAUGCGGAAGAGAUAAGUGCUGAAAGCAUCUAAGCACGAAACUUGCCCCGAGAUGAGUUCUCCCUGACUCCUUGAGAGUCCUGAAGGAACGUUGAAGACGACGACGUUGAUAGGCCGGGGUGUAAGCGCAGCGAUGCGUUGAGCUAACCGGUACUAAUGAACCGUGAGGCUUAACCUUACAACGCCGAAGGUGUUU
rnacentral:rRNA from 1 species